GACGAACGCUGGCGGCGUGCCUAAUACAUGCAAGUAGAACGCUGAAGAGAGGAGCUUGCUCUUCUUGGAUGAGUUGCGAACGGGUGAGUAACGCGUAGGUAACCUGCCUUGUAGCGGGGGAUAACUAUUGGAAACGAUAGCUAAUACCGCAUAACAAUGGAUGACACAUGUCAUUUAUUUGAAAGGGGCAAUUGCUCCACUACAAGAUGGACCUGCGUUGUAUUAGCUAGUAGGUGAGGUAAUGGCUCACCUAGGCGACGAUACAUAGCCGACCUGAGAGGGUGAUCGGCCACACUGGGACUGAGACACGGCCCAGACUCCUACGGGAGGCAGCAGUAGGGAAUCUUCGGCAAUGGGGGCAACCCUGACCGAGCAACGCCGCGUGAGUGAAGAAGGUUGUCGGAUCGUAAAGCUCUGUUGUAAGUCAAGAACGGGUGUGAGAGUGGAAAGUUUACACUGUGACGGUAGCUUACCAGAAAGGGACGGCUAACUACGUG
rnacentral:rRNA from 1 species